CCCCCCUAAAUUGAAGUUGGAUUUUUUCAUAUCCCUCGUUGAAACACUUUCCCCCUUACCAUUCGUCUCCUCAAUCCCUUUCUUGUUUCUCGUCACUUUGCAGCCUGAGUGUUUUAUCUCACAAACAACCAUAAUGGAAUUUCACCACCAGGUCCUAUCAAGCUGCUCUCACAGGAGCUCAAGGUGGGUCUGAAACGGUGUUGGUGGCUUGAGAGCUUAGGAAGCAGUGCAGUCAGAAAGCAUUCUAUGGACUGAAAUUUAUUGGCAGUGAAUCCAAUGGCCUUGUUGUCUGGAUCAAGAGAUCUAUUCAGCCUCUUUGGAUGCCCGUCGGAACCUGCAACGUGUCUCCCGUCUCAUGUCUUAAAGAUUUAUGUUCUUUUUGGAGCAAUCUUUAAAGAUUUAUGUCCACUAAUUUAUUAUUACAAGUAUCUUCUUUGAUCUUAGUUGCAUGUAUUUAGUUACAAUUCUUGAGCAUUCUCUUCUUUCACUUUACAUCAUAGCAUUUUUUUAAUAACAAUUCUAAGUAGAAAGCAUUUUAAGGAUUUAUCAUGUUUGAAUUGAUGGUAUUUUAUCCUUUUGUUUCCUUAUGUUUGGUUGCUAUACGGGGGAGUUAUAAGGCAUUUGCUAUAUUUAUGAAGUUUAAGAUAGUUAAUUA